UACGGAGGGGGCAAGCGUUGUUCGGAAUUACUGGGCGUAAAGGGCGCGUAGGCGGCUUAUCAAGUCAGGCGUGAAAUUCCCGGGCUCAACCUGGGGGCUGCGCUUGAUACUGAUGAGCUUGAAUGCGGGAGAGGAUAGUGGAAUUCCCAGUGUAGAGGUGAAAUUCGUAGAUAUUGGGAAGAACACCGGUGGCGAAGGCGGCUAUCUGGCCCGUAAUUGACGCUGAGGCGCGAAAGCGUGGGGAGCAAACAGG
rnacentral:rRNA from 1 species